ensembl:scaRNA Gm22442 predicted gene, 22442
AGGCUCUAUUUCCUGGGAGGUGGGCUUAGCCUACCCCACUUCCCCUCAGCAGAGCCUAGAGUAAAGGGGCCAGGCCUCCUCCCCUAUGGGAGAGAGAGGUGUUUGAAGAAGGGGCCUCACCCGGGCCGGCCUGGCUUCACAUUU